rnacentral:rRNA from 1 species
CUUGAUGGGGUAAGGCUCCCAGUAGACGACUGGGUUGAUAGGCCAGAUAUGGAAGCCGGGUGACCGGUGGAGUUGACUGGUACUAAUAGGCCGAGGGCUUGUCCUC